ACCAAAGGGCUAGUUACAUGUCACCACAAGAAUAAAACAAACCCUCCUUCCCCUUUGCCAUCCUUGGAAUAGGCUAUGCUGUUACUUUAGAAAUGUUUCAAUGUGUCUAUAGAGCUAUUUUAGCAUUCUCUUAGUUAUACCAAUCAACACUUCAAAACAAGAGAAACUUGGACAUAUGUUCUUCCUGAUCAUGCCUCACAUUGAACUAAAACAGUCUUAACACAUUAAAAACACGAAGGAAGUUCUUGCUACUUCCCCCUCACACCUCCCUGCUUCAUGACCCAGUUUAGGGACUGAUUUUACUUGGCUUAUGCAAUGCUCUGCCUAGUUCCCUGCCCUCACAUCUCUUCCUUCCCUCAAACUGGGAGUUCUUGACCCAAUCCUGUUAUUGCAAGUAUUUAAGGAUCUGUCCUUUAGUAGUUUAGGAAAAUCAGCAUCAAACCAGUUUCAGCUGGUUCUGUUUCUCAAGAUGAGGGAAUGCCCAGAUGACCAGCCAAUUGAAAAUAAGCUGUGAACUCUCGAGCCUUAUCCCCCUGGCACUUUUCCUAUAUUAUCAUGAGCACUCCUAACUCCACCCAGGGCCUCAGCUUCUCCGUCCAUUCCUGAACCUGGGACUAGAGUUCCUCUCUGUUCCAUAUCCAUGGCCUGUCACAAUCUGGACAUGAUUUUCCCUUCCAGUCUUAUGUCUUUUCCCCUCCUUCAUAAAAGCCCUGGCAGUAACCAACUUAACGAGCCAAUGCUCCCCAAUAUCUUCUGCCCCACUACAUACAUAUUUCUUCAUUCUUACUCUCAUAUUUCCCUCUACCUGAAAUAGUACCCAUCCAACCCUUGUCUUCAGAACUCCUAAUCCAUUCAUUCUUCAAGGCUAAUCUUAAAUAUACCCUACCAUACUAUGUUCCAACACUGGUAGAAUAAAGCAAGAAAACCACCCAGUACGGUUAAAGAGUAUGAACUUUCAGUAGUCACACUUUCAUACAAUAAGUAGUCUUAUAGUCACACUUGUCCCUAGCUUUAUCAUCCUUGGUAAAAUGGUGGUAAUAAUAUCAGCCUCACAUGUUAACAAUGACACCAAGCCUGGCACAUUGCAGAUUCUCAAUAAAUGACAGCUAUUGUAAUUAUAAGAGGGUGUGCUCACAAACAACUGUCAGAGAACUUGGAAUGUGACGGGUACCACAGAUUCCAGAAAGAGAAUUCUUCUCAUGGGCUGAAAGCCUUCUUGAAGGGAAAACAUUUAAACUCAGCCUUGAGAGAUGGAAACUGAGACUAGAAGAGGUUGGGUAUCUUCCCUUAAAUUACUCAGGUCAUUAUCCAGACUGUGCUGGUUAGCUGCCUAGAUUGAGUUACUUUUCAUUGAAUAUUUAUCAUGUUCUGCCGCCAUGCUUAGCAUCACUAUACACAAAUAAUCUCAUUUCAUCUCUUUUUAAAAGACCCUAAGAAUUAGGUUUUGUUAUUCCUCGAUUUACUUGUGAACAAAGGGAGUUAUCUGCCUCAGGUCAUGCAGCAACUAAGUAGCACCAGGAUUUGAUCAAGAGAUUGAUUCUAAAGGCUGUGAAUGAUCCACUACAUUCAAAGGAACAAGCUUCAUGUGGCUAAUUAAACAAGAGAUUUUAUGUAUCCCAUUUCCAUACACAUUCCAAAGAGGCUUCUAUUUCACAGCCUCCACAAACAAUAGCAGCGUACUAUGAAUAUUGUGCAAAUGUGUUUUUAAUAAACUGCCUCAAAAUUAGCUGUAUGCCUUAAGCUUUUGUAUUCUCAGGAGACCUUAUUAGAUAAAGAUAAGAUAUUUUAGAAAAUCCCCCAUCCCUAACUACUUGAAGACACAUUAAUCAUUUAAAAUCCCCCCCAAAACUGUGGGCAAAAUGUCAUAUUGUUGACUCUAGCUUAAUGAAUAUAAAUGUUGCCCCUUACCUUAUGAAAUAUCUUUGGAUGAACUUCCACAAAUACCGAACAUAAGUAGGCCCUGAAAAUACUCUAAACAAAUAGACUCUACCCAGCCCUGCUGGGAGUCCUAUGUGGUUAUAAUUCUACCCUUUCCUUUGCUCCUGCUUUCUCUUUGUAAAGUUAUUUGAAAGUGUA